AUGCGCGCGCUCCUUGGCGCCUCUGCCCAGGCAAAACGGGCCCAAAAGCAGUUAUAUGCAAUAACAAUGUGGCAAAAUCAAAAAAGAAGUAAUAUUGGUGCAAGAACAGGAGGUGAGACUCAAGGAAAAAUAGCACGACGACAAGAUUGCCUGACACAGGCUGACUACAAAAUUACUGCAGACUCUAGGCAGAGACAGACUGCAGUAUUCCAUUUGAAAAUCCUUCAAAACGGAGGUUUAGUUUUGUUCUCCCCUGUCCUCGGAAGUGUCCGUAUAGCUCUGCCGCGAGCGUGCCCAGAGGACGAGGUGACUUCUUACCCCUUUUCCGGACCAUCUGAACACCAGGUCUCGUUCUGCUUCCCCUUUAGUCCAGAUUUCGGGGGUCUCAAAUAUUAAAUAAAGCAAACAAGCCCAUUGGUCACUUCGAACUGUCUCCUUACCAUUGCACUAUCGAAAAUUCCUCCUAGAUUUAUUAAGAACUGAUACUCACAUAGAACAUGUGGCUUUCCACCUGGGACUCUUAAUGAUUUUUAUGUACUAUAGCAUAGUUUAAGAAUUUGACCCUACAUUCAUCUUUAAUUGAGCUGGAACUAAGAUUGCUCUUCCCCUAGGUGUAAAACUAAUUACUAGUCAAGCAAAUCAUUCUGAAAUCCAUAACUAAAUAAUUACUUAAUUAACCUUUGUUGAUCUCUGUAUUAUCAGUAAUUUCUACAGUUUUUUCUCAUGAUUCCUAACUGUAUUAACCACUUAGCUUGUUUACAAUUAAACCAAUGGUAAACAGAAAAUUUGAAAAAUGUCCUGUACUCAACAAUGCUCAGUAAACUUUAUUUUCUUCAAAUAAAAUAAAAUUCUAAAAAAAUGAUAGUAGUUUAUUAUGAGAUUAUUUCUCCUGUGUCUUCCUUUUCUUGUUAUUUUGCUUUUGGAAGAGGGUGCUCACUAUUGUUGAACGCCAAAUAAUGAUUUGUCGCCAAAAAAAUAAG
rnacentral:lncRNA from 1 species